GUGUCAGCCGCCGCGGUAAUACGUAGGUGGCAAGCGUUGUCCGGAAUUAUUGGGCGUAAAGGAUGCGUAGGCGGUUUUUUAAGUGGGAUGUGAAAUCCCCGGGCUUAACUCGGGAGUGGCAUUCCAAACUGGAAAACUAGAGUGCAGGAGAGGAAAGUGGAAUUCCCAGUGUAGCGGUGAAAUGCGUAGAGAUUGGGAGGAACACCAGUGGCGAAGGCGACUUUCUGGACUGUAACUGACGCUGAGGCAUGAAAGCGUGGGGAGCAAACAGGAUUAGAUACCCUGGUAGUCCACGCUGUAAACGAUGAGUACUAGGUGUGAGGGGGUACCACCCCUUGUGCCGCAGUUAACACAUUAAGUACUCCGCCUGGGAAGUACGGUCGCAAGACUAAA
rnacentral:rRNA from 1 species